UCCGGUUUGACACCGGCAGUCUCCCUAGGGUGCCCGGCAUAACCCGCUGGUAACUAGGGACGAGGGUUGCGCUCGUUGCGGGACUUAACCCAACAUCCCACGACACGAGCUGACGACAGCCAUGCAGCACCUGUGUGCAGGUCCCCGAAGGGAAGGAGCCCGUCUCCGGACACCGUCCUGCCAUGUCAAGGGCUGGUAAGGUUCUGCGCGUUGCUUCGAAUUAAACCACAUGCUCCACCGCUUGUGCAGGCCCCCGUCAAUUUCUUUGAGUUUUAACCUUGCGGCCGUACUCCCCAGGCGGAUGACUUAACGCGUUAGCUGCGCCACCGAAACGCUAAGCGCCCCGACAGCUAGUCAUCAUCGUUUACGGCGUGGACUAC
rnacentral:misc_RNA from 1 species